rnacentral:lncRNA from 1 species
GUUAUCCCCGCGCCCACGGCGGUACCCCGCCUAAGAGAGUGCAAAUACGCACGUUCUCUGCUGCAAAGUGGUGUUGUGCUUAUGUAGUGCCGCCAUCCCACCAUGCCCCCGUCUCCAUCGCACUCCAGGUGCCACGCGCCGCUCUUCCCACCGCUCGUGUCGCGCGCAUGUCGCUGCACACCACCGAGUCCACCACUCCACCACCGCUACCAGCCCCACCGCCGCCUCGCAAUAGUGGUACGCUGCGUCUAGUGCUGCGCCACGCUCUCGAACACCUUGAAGUAGGUGGGGAAGGUCUUCCGCGUGCAGCCGGGAUCGCGGAUGACCACGGGCACGCCGGCGGCCGCCACCAGCGAGAAGGCCAUGGCCAUGCGGUGGUCGUCGUAGGUGUCGAUGCCCACGUUGGCCUUGAC